rnacentral:rRNA from 1 species
ACUCCUACGGGAGGCAGCAGUGGGGAAUAUUGCACAAUGGGCGCAAGCCUGAUGCAGCCAUGCCGCGUGUAUGAAGAAGGCCUUCGGGUUGUAAAGUACUUUCAGCAGUGAGGAAGGUGGGAGUCAGUUAAUAGCGGCCAUCCAUUUGAUCGUAUGCUGCAGAAGAAGCACCGGCUAACUCCGUGCCAGCAGCCGCGGUAAUACGGAGGGUGCGAGCGUUAAUCGGAAUUACUGGGCGUAAAGCGCAUGCAGGUGGUUUGUUAAGUCAGAUGUGAAAGCCCGGGGCUCAACCUCGGAAUUGCAUUUGAAACUGGCAAGACUAGAGUACUGUAGAGGGGGGUAGAAUUUCAGGUGUAGCGGUGAAAUGCGUAGAGAUCUGAAGGAAUACCGGUGGCGAAGGCGGCCCCCUGGACAGAUACUGACACUCAGAUGCGAAAGCGUGGGGAGCAAACAGGAUUAGAUACCCUGGUAGGAUAGCGU